UUAAAUGUUAGUAAUGAUUUGGAAUUUGAAUGGGAAGGGUCCGGUUCCGGGUCCGUGUAUUUAUUAAAUAGGGCUUUUCUGAUUUGGGCCUCCGUUCUCUUCUCCUUUCAUUUUGUGAACAACAACUGGGUACACUUCAAUUAUCUCUCACUAUGGACUUUUAGUAAAUUAUCUUGGGCCAUUCAUAGUUUUCUACUAAACAUUCUGUUUAACAAAAAACUAGGGGGCAAUGUUGGGUCGUGAUAUUUCCUAUCUUUUGGUCGGGUACAUUGGGCCUUUAUUUUUAAUCCGUUAAAGUCAUCGGGCCCAGUCCUCAUACUAUAUCCAUUUUAAUCUUUAAGACCGGAUCGGUCCAGUAGGUCGACCCGUUAAAUAUUUUAAAAUCUGUUAUUUUGACUUGUGAUGAUGAAAAAGCAUGACGGUUGACCAAAGUUCCUGCCAUGCAUUAAUGUGAAUGGGAUCAUAGCCGGCCGGCGGUAGAAAACAGUGGCCAAAAGCAGUGGAUAAACUAUAUACAGUCGGCAGAGCCCAUCAGAUCAGAGGGAUGUGUCAGAUAGUAGUGGGUGGCACAGUAAUUCAGGCGGAGAUAGUAUAACCUAGCAAGGAAGCCUUCAUGAAGAGGUACGUUCUCAUACAUUUUAAGAUUUCAUUUUUAUCUCACAUACACAAAAGGAAAAAUUAUUAUCUCUCUCUAGACCCUAGACAGUACAUUCCUCCACUGUUAACCUUGUGAACACAUACUAAUUCUCACGCCUGAGCUAUCCCCCGACGGAACCGCCGUCAAGCUUGUGGUGUUUACUGUGCAGGAUCAGGACGUCUUUAGUGAUUGGGACGUGGAGAAAGAUCCUGGCGUUAACACCCAUCAACCCCGAAUAAAUGGUAUGAUUAUCCAGAUCGGACGGUUUUUAAUAAUCCUACUAGAUCAAUGGGUGGACUAAUGAGAAGGAAUAGUAUCUCAUACCCUGAACUUCAUCUACGUGAACUUUCAUCACCAUGGGUCACCGGAGAUGAUCAGUGGCGAUUUUAUAACGAUA
rnacentral:lncRNA from 1 species